rnacentral:rRNA from 1 species
UACGAAGGGGGCUAGCGUUGCUCGGAAUCACUGGGCGUAAAGCGCACGUAGGCGGCUUUUUAAGUCAGGGGUGAAAUCCUGGAGCUCAACUCCAGAACUGCCUUUGAUACUGAGAAGCUUGAGUCCGGAAGAGGUGAGUGGAACUCCGAGUGUAGAGGUGAAAUUCGUAGAUAUUCGGAAGAACACCAGUGGCGAAGGCGGCUCACUGGUCCGGUACUGACGCUGAGGUGCGAAAGCGUGGGGAGCAAACAG